rnacentral:rRNA from 1 species
CCUACGGGUGGCAGCAGUGAGGAAUAUUGGUCAAUGGGCGGGAGCCUGAACCAGCCAAGUCGCGUGAAGGAAGAAGGUACUUAGUAUUGUAAACCUCUUUUGUCGGGGAGCAAAGCGAGUCACGUGUGACUCAUUGAGAGUACCCGAAGAAAAAGCAUCGGCUAACUCCGUGCCAGCAGCCGCGGUAAUACGGAGGAUGCGAGCGUUAUCCGGAUUUAUUGGGUUUAAAGGGUGCGCAGGCGGAGGUGCAAGUCAGCGGUCAAAUUGCGGGGCUCAACCCCGUACUGCCGUUGAAACUGCAUCCCUUGAGUGCGCGAGAAGUAUGCGGAAUGCGUGGUGUAGCGGUGAAAUGCAUAGAUAUCACGCAGAACUCCGAUUGCGAAGGCAGCAUACCGGCGCGCAACUGACGCUCAUGCACGAAAGCGUGGGUAUCGAACAGCAUUAGAUACCCUUGUAGUC